GUUCGCCGGACGGCCUUUUGACAUAAUUGACGGUUGUUUUUACUUAGCUAUUGGGUGUAGUUGUUGUUCAUUUAAUAAAGAUUUUUGAUAUUAUAAACGAAUUGUUCAUAUUUUAUGCCCGAAGUUAACACAAAUGGCAGUACAGCAGAUCAUUCAAUACAUGCUGAGACAUGAAUUCACAUUUCUACCACUAUGCUAAAUAUCAAUAUCCUACGUUGAAAAUGUACUAGACGAUACUGCUAAUAAUAAUGGUUUUGUGCAACGUGCGUGUAAUGGAUGGCAGUAUAGCAGAUCAUUCAAUACAUGCUGACACAUGAAUUCACAUUUCUACCACUACGCUAAAUAUCAACAUCCUACGUUGAAAAUGUACUAGACGACACUGCUAAUAAUAAUGGUUUUGUGCAACAUGGCAGUAUAGCAGAUCACUCGAGGCAUGCUGAGACUAUGAAUUAACAUUUCUAUCACUUGGGAAAGUUACAACAUCUUCCGUUGAAAAUGGAAUAGAAGUUGGCAGUAUAUCAGAUCAAUCAAGGCACGCUGAGACACGAAUUCACAUUUCUACCACCAAGGAAAGUAUCAACAUCCUAUGUUGAAAAUGGACUAGAAGAUACUGAUAAUAAU